AGAGUUUGAUCCUGGCUCAGAACGAACGCUGGCGGCAGGCUUAACACAUGCAAGUCGAGCGCCCCGCAAGGGGAGCGGCAGACGGGUGAGUAACGCGUGGGAAUCUACCCAUCCCUACGGAACAACUCCGGGAAACUGGAGCUAAUACCGUAUACGCCCUUCGGGGGAAAGAUUUAUCGGGGAUGGAUGAGCCCGCGUUGGAUUAGCUAGUUGGUGGGGUAAUGGCCUACCAAGGCGACGAUCCAUAGCUGGUCUGAGAGGAUGAUCAGCCACACUGGGACUGAGACACGGCCCAGACUCCUACGGGAGGCAGCAGUGGGGAAUAUUGGACAAUGGGCGCAAGCCUGAUCCAGCCAUGCCGCGUGAGUGAUGAAGGCCCUAGGGUUGUAAAGCUCUUUCAACGGUGAAGAUAAUGACGGUAACCGUAGAAGAAGCCCCGGCUAACUUCGUG
rnacentral:rRNA from 1 species